rnacentral:tRNA from 1 species
AAAUAAGAAGCAAAUAAUUUGCAUUUAAUUUCGACUUAAAAAUAAGAGUAAAUUACUCCUUAUUUA